UGUAAGGAGGGGUGUAAGGAGUCUUAUGGGGUGAAAAACCCUCUACAGCCACGCACUGGAUGCAACCAGAGAGUCGCCUCCAAGGCACAGAGCCCCACAACAGUGGCCCGCCGGGCAAGCGCACCCCGGCGGAGGGCAGCGGGGAGAAGAGUUGCCACAACUCCAGGGACGCGCCGGGCAGGGCAAAAACUCCACGCUCGGACGUGGCUCUCCGAGGUCGCUCCCCAACACUGACCCGCCACGCGUCCUGGUAACGGCCAGCUGGCCGGGCGCGACAGUCCCAGCCACGCUCCGCCUGUCGGAAGCGCGCGUGGGCCCCGGGCGGCCGAGGCGAGUGGACUAGAGCGCGGCCCCGACCCGCCCCCGACGAUCCGGGCAGCGCAGGGCGCUCAACUCACAUGUGCGGGUUCCUGCGGAAGGCGUUAGUGAUGUCCUUCACCACCCUUUGCACCAGUACCGCCACCUCCUCGUUCGUCUCGGCCAUGUUGGCGGCCGCCGCGAUCGGGCGCGCCUCCGGGAGGACCCAGCCGCCGGCGGGAGUUCCGCGGGGACGCGCGCGCGCUGGCUUAGGCGCGCUCUUGCAGAGGCCUCCGAGCACUUCCGGGUCAGGAAGGGCGGCAGCGCUGCUGGGUUGGGCCAGCUCUUGUCGUUGAUUGAAUUUUGGUUCACUAGGCGUGGAGGAAGGAGGGUCUCCCACGCACCUCUCCGAGCAAGCGUGUCCCGGGGUGGCCUUUACCCAGGGACCUCCGGGCCGCAGCACCGUGCCCGCUUCACCCGCCCACCCUGGGAGGAGGCCAGUGGCUGACCUCCUUUUGCAUGCUUGUGCUACUUUAUGUCUAAAAUUUAAAGUAGCCCUUUUAAUGAGAUCUUAUAAUGCAUUAAGCAAAGAAAAGAAAGUAAAGGAGAAACAGCCCUCCAGAUCUAGGGGAACAGGUUAAAAAAAAAGUAACCCACUGUACUUUUGGUAUUUUUGAUGUUUGGUGAUCUGUGUGUUAAUUUAUAGU
rnacentral:lncRNA from 1 species